rnacentral:rRNA from 1 species
UACGUAGGCAGCGAGCGUUGUUCGGAGUUACUGGGCGUAAAGGGUGUGUAGGCGGUUUUUUAAGUUUGGUGUGAAAUCUCCCGGCUCAACCGGGAGGGUGCGCCGAAAACUGGGAGACUAGAGUGCGGGAUGGGAGAGUAGAAUUCCUGGUGUAGCGGUGAAAUGCGUAGAUAUCAGGAAGAACACCCGUGGCGAAGGCGGCUCUCUGGUACGUGACUGACGCUGAGACGCGAAAGCGUGGGGAGCAAACAGG